GCAGUAGCUCAGUGGCAGAGCUUUCGCUUCGUAUGCGGGAAGACCUAGGCUUGAUUCCUGGCUGC
rnacentral:tRNA from 1 species